UCCUUUGGUCCCAAAAGUAGGGAAAUGA
rnacentral:sRNA from 1 species